UUUACAAUAGCUCAGUUGGUAAAGCACGAGGCUCUUGAUCUCAGGGUCGUGGGUUUGAGCCCCACGGUGGACCAAAA